rnacentral:rRNA from 1 species
AUGGAGGUUGCCGCUGGGGCGUUGAGCCCCGUCCUCCGUAAGCUUGGUGAGCUACUCGCCGGAGAAUACAACCUGGAGAAGCGAGUAAAGAAAGGCGUACAAUCGCUCCUAAUAGAGCUGGAGAUGAUGCACGCCAUACUUCGCAAGGUUAGCGAGGUGCCAUCAGACCAACUCGAGGAGCCGGUCCGGAUUUGGGCUGGCAAGGUGAGAGACCUCUCUUGCGACAUGGAAGACGCUGUUGAUGACUUCCUGGUGCGCGUGGAUGAGGGCUCAAGCAGAAAGCCAACGAACAUGAGGAAUCGAGUGAAUAAGUUCCUCAAGAAGACCACCAAACUCUUUGGUAAAGGCAAGGCACUUCAUCAAAUCUGUGAUGCCAUUGAAGAAGCUCAAGAUCUUGCCAAGCAGUUGGCGGACCUGCGUAAAAGAUACGAGCUUGACAUGCAUAGCAGUAGUAAUGGUGCUACCAUUGACCCCCGCGUUUUAGCUCUGCAUAAAGAUGUAGGGGAGCUUGUUGGCGUUGACUACACAAGGGAUGAGCUUAUCAAAACACUGAUUUGUGAGGACGGGAGUUCUAAGGAGCAAUUGAAAACGAUCCCUAUUGUUGGUGUUGGUGGGCUGGGCAAGACAACGCUCACCAAAGCAGUCUAUGAGAAGAUCAAAGCCCAAUUUGAUUGUGUGGCUUUUGUCUCUGUGGGUCAGAACCCAGAUAUCAAGAAAGUUUUCAAGGACUUGCUCUAUGGCCUUGACAAUGGAAAGUUCAGUGACAUUCAUAAUACAACAAGGGAUGAAAAUCUACUCAUCAAGCAAAUCAGUGAUUACCUUGUGGAUAAGAGGUACCUCAUCGUAAUCGAUGACAUAUGGGAAGAAGAAAUAUGGAGAUUUAUAAAUUGUGCUUUGUAUAAAAACGACCUCCAUAGUCGGGUAAUCACAACAACCCGCAAUGUGUGUGUGUCUGAAGCAUGUCUCUCUUCCAGUGAUGACAUGAUUCACCAAAUGAAACCACUUUCCGAUGAAGACUCACAGAUACUCUUCCAUCGAAGAAUAUUUCAAAGCGAGGAGAAAUGUCCAGAAGAUUUGCAAGCAGUAUCAAGAGAGAUAUUGAAGAAAUGCGGUGGUGUACCAUUAGCCAUUAUUACAAUAGCUAGCCUUCUAGUCAGUAACCAAAGGAUAAAGCAGAAAGAAGAAUGGUUGCAUGUGCACAGUUCGAUGGGCCGUGGAGUUACAGAAGGUGGUAUUGUGAAGGACAUGAAGAGGAUAUUAUCACUCAGCUAUUAUGAUUUGCCUUCGCAUCUAAAGCCUUGUUUGUUAUACCUAAGCAUGUUUCCUGAAGACUCUGAGAUUAAGAGAGAUUGGCUGAUAUGGAGGUGGCUUUCUGAAGGGUUUAUCCAAUGUGAUAAAGAAGAAACCAGGCUGUUUGAGAUCGGAGAGAGCUACUACAAUGAGCUUCUGAACAGGAGCUUGAUCCAGCCAUCAAAAAUCAACGAGGAAGGAACGGUAGUAAGUUGCCGAAUACAUGAUAUGGUUAUCACUUCAUAA